rnacentral:rRNA from 1 species
UACGGAGGGUGCAAGCGUUAUCCGGAUUUACUGGGUUUAAAGGGUGCGUAGGUGGGUAGGUAAGUCAGUGGUGAAAUCUUCGAGCUUAACUCGGAAACUGCCAUUGAUACUAUUUAUCUUGAAUACUCUGGAGGUAAGCGGAAUAUGUCAUGUAGCGGUGAAAUGCUUAGAUAUGACAUUGAACACCAAUUGCGAAGGCAGCUUACUACAUAGUUAUUGACACUGAGGCACGAAAGCGUGGGGAUCAAACAGG